GAUCAUGGCUCAGAACGAACGCUGGCGGCAUGGAUUAGGCAUGCAAGUCGAACGAAGUAGCAAUACUUAGUGGCGCAAGGGUGAGGAACGCGUGAGUGACUUACCCGCAAGUUUGGAACAGCUCCUGGAAACGGGAAUUAAUACCGGAUGUGAUCAACGGGCUGCAUGGUUUGUUGAUUAAAGCAGUAAUGCGCUUGCGGAUGGGCUCGCGUCCCAUUAGCUAGUUGGUGAGGUAACGGCCCACCAAGGCCAUGAUGGGUAGCUGGUCUGAGAGGACGACCAGCCACACUGGGACUGAGAACUGCCCAGACUCCUACGGGAGGCUGCAGUCGAGAAUUUUGGGCAAUGGACGAAAGUCUGACCCAAGCAAUGCCGCGUGCGGGAUGAAGGUCUUCGGAUUGUAAACCGCUGUUUGGAGGGACGAAAUUUGACGGUACUUCCAGAGAAAGCCACGGCUAACUACGUGCCAGCAGCAGC
rnacentral:rRNA from 1 species